UGGGGAAUUUUGGACAAUGGGCGAAAGCCUGAUCCAGCAAUGCCGCGUGUGUGAAGAAGGCCUUCGGGUUGUAAAGCACUUUUGUCCGGAAAGAAAUCCUUGGCUCUAAUACAGUCGGGGGAUGACGGUACCGGAAGAAUAAGCACCGGCUAACUACGUGCCAGCAGCCGCGGUAAUACGUAGGGUGCAAGCGUUAAUCGGAAUUACUGGGCGUAAAGCGUGCGCAGGCGGUUUGCUAAGACCGAUGUGAAAUCCCCGGGCUCAACCUGGGAACUGCAUUGGUGACUGGCAGGCUAGAGUAUGGCAGAGGGGGGUAGAAUUCCACGUGUAGCAGUGAAAUGCGUAGAGAUGUGGAGGAAUACCGAUGGCGAAGGCAGCCCCCUGGGCCAAUACUGACGCUCAUGCACGAAAGCGUGGGGAGCAAAACAGGAUUAGAUACCCUGGUAGUCCACGCCCUAAAACGAUGUCAACUAGUUGUUGGGGAUUCAUUUCCUUAGUAACGUAGCUAACGCGUGAAGUUGACCGCCUGGGGAGUACGGUCGCAAGAUUAAAACUCAAAAGAAUUGACGGGGUCAUAGCUGUUUCCU
rnacentral:rRNA from 1 species